rnacentral:rRNA from 1 species
GAUUGCCCUAGUAACGGCGAGUGAAGCGGCAACAGCUCAAUUUGAAAUCUGGCUUCGGCCCGAGUUGUAAUUUGUAGAGGAAACUUUUGGUGAGGCACCUUCUGAGUCCCUUGGAACAGGGCGCCAUAGAGGGUGAGAGCCCCGUAUAGUCGGAUGCCGAUCCAAUGUAAAGUUCCUUCGACGAGUCGAGUAGUUUGGGAAUGCUGCUCAAAAUGGGAGGUAAAUUUCUUCUAAAGCUAAAUAUAGGCCAGAGACCGAUAGCGCACAAGUAGAGUGAUCGAAAGAUGAAAAGCACUUUGAAAAGAGGGUUAAAUAGCACGUGAAAUUGUUGAAAGGGAAGCGUUUGUGACCAGACUUGCGCCGUUCCGAUCAUCCGGUGUUCUCACCGGUGCACUCGGGGCGGCUCAGGCCAGCAUCGGUUUUGGUGGGGGGAUAAAGGUCCAGGGAACGUAGCUCCUCCGGGAGUGUUAUAGCCCUGGGCGUAAUGCCCUCGCUGGGACCGAGGUUCGCGCAUCUGCAAGGAUGCUGGCGUAAUGGUCAUCAACGACCCGUCUUGAAACACGGACCAAGGAGUCAAGGUUUUGCGCGAGUGUUUGGGUGUAAAACCCGCACGCGUAAUGAAAGUGAACGUAGGUGAGAGCUUCGGCGCAUCAUCGACCGAUCCUGAUGUAUUCGGAUGGAUUUGAGUAAGAGCGUUAAGCCUUGGACCCGAAAGAUGGUGAACUAUGCUUGGAUAGGGUGAAGCCAGAGGAAACUCUGGUGGAGGCUCGCAGCGGUUCUGACGUGCAAAUCGAUCGUCAAAUCUGAGCAUGGGG